rnacentral:rRNA from 1 species
GACGAACGCUGGCGGCGUGCCUAAUACAUGCAAGUUGAGCGAUGAAGAUUGGUGCUUGCACCAAUUUGAAGAGCAGCGAACGGGUGAGUAACGCGUGGGUAAUCUGCCUUUGAGCGGGGGACAACAUUUGGAAACGAAUGCUAAUACCGCAUAACAACUUUAAACAUAAGUUUUAAGUUUGAAAGAUGCAAUUGCAUCACUCAAAGAUGAUCCCGCGUUGUAUUAGCUAGUUGGUGAGGUAAAGGCUCACCAAGGCGAUGAUACAUAGCCGACCUGAGAGGGUGAUCGGCCACAUUGGGACUGAGACACGGCCCAAACUCCUACGGGAGGCAGCAGUAGGGAAUCUUCGGCAAUGGACGAAAGUCUGACCGAGCAACGCCGCGUGAGUGAAGAAGGUUUUCGGAUCGUAAAACUCUGUUGGUAGAGAAGAACGUUGGUGAGAGUGGAGAGCUCAUCAAGUGACGGUAACUACCCAGAAAGGGACGGCUAACUACGUG